rnacentral:rRNA from 2 species
GGGUUGUGAGGUUAAGCGACUAAGCGUACACGGUGGAUGCCCUGGCAGUCAGAGGCGAUGAAGGGCGUGCUAAUCUGCGAUAAGCGCCGGUAAGGUGAUAUGAACCGUUAUAACCGGCGAUACCCGAAUGGGGAAACCCAGUGUGACUCGUCACACUAUCAUUAACUGAAUCCAUAGGUUAAUGAGGCGAACCGGGGGAACUGAAACAUCUAAGUACCCCGAGGAAAAGAAAUCAACCGAGAUUCCCCCAGUAGCGGCGAGCGAACGGGGAGGAGCCCAGAGCCUGAAUCAGCAUGUGUGUUAGUGGAAGCGUCUGGAAAGGCGCGCGAUACAGGGUGACAGCCCCGUACACAAAAGCGCAUGUGCUGUGAGCUCGAUGAGUAGGGCGGGACACGUGGUAUCCUGUCUGAAUAUGGGGGGACCAUCCUCCAAGGCUAAAUACUCCUGACUGACCGAUAGUGAACCAGUACCGUGAGGGAAAGGCGAAAAGAACCCCGGCGAGGGGAGUGAAAAAGAACCUGAAACCGUGUACGUACAAGCAGUGGGAGCACCCUUUUGGGUGUGACUGCGUACCUUUUGUAUAAUGGGUCAGCGACUUAUAUUCUGUAGCAAGGUUAACCGAAUAGGGGAGCCGGAGGGAAACCGAGUCUUAACCGGGCGUUAAGUUGCAGGGUAUAGACCCGAAACCCGGUGAUCUAGCCAUGGGCAGGUUGAAGGUUGGGUAACACUAACUGGAGGACCGAACCGACUAAUGUUGAAAAAUUAGCGGAUGACCUGUGGCUGGGGGUGAAAGGCCAAUCAAACCGGGAGAUAGCUGGUUCUCCCCGAAAGCUAUUUAGGUAGCGCCUCGUGAAUUCAUCUCCGGGGGUAGAGCACUGUUUCGGCUAGGGGGCCAUCCCGGCUUACCAACCCGAUGCAAACUGCGAAUACCGGAGAAUGUUAUCACGGGAGACACACGGCGGGUGCUAACGUCCGUCGUGAAGAGGGAAACAACCCAGACCGCCAGCUAAGGUCCCAAAGUCAUGGUUAAGUGGGAAACGAUGUGGGAAGGCCCAGACAGCCAGGAUGUUGGCUUAGAAGCAGCCAUCAUUUAAAGAAAGCGUAAUAGCUCACUGGUCGAGUCGGCCUGCGCGGAAGAUGUAACGGGGCUAAACCAUGCAC